CCAUCAUCUACAGGGUCCCGCCUGGCCUGUAUAGGCUUUUUUGAUCCCUGUUUGAGCGACCUGAGGUGACCGCUGGGUCAACCCUAACCAACGGGGUUUGCGUCUUAGCCCAGCUCCCGUGGCUCUGGGGAGAAUGGUUGUGCGCAGAAGCGAGGGCGCGGCGUGUGUGGUCCACGCGGGAGCAGAGCGUGCAUUCCCCGCGGAGCGCGCCGUCCCGGGCCUCGGCGACCAGGGCAUCGUCCUUUCUUCGCAUCGAGGAGUCACUUGCUUUUGAGCCCUAUGGAUUGUGCCAUGUUGGAACAGCUCGUCACUUCUGGCCUCUGGUAUUGGGAGUCCGAGCCCUUGCAUGGCAGCCUGCUUGGCCAAACUCAAGAAGACCUCAGUUUAGGAUGACUCCUUGGUCACAGGUGCUACCCACCAAUCCCAUCUUCCUUGGGGACCCUAAAGCACCUGCCCAGGACCUUGUGACUCCAUGUAACCUGAAAACUCCAAGAUAAAGAAGUCUCCUUUGGCCCUGAGUAAAUACUUCUGGAAAAGUAGAAGGAAGAGCCCAGGGCUGACGUUGGAACACCUGGAUUUGAGUUCUGGUUUUGCCAUUUAUCAGUUGAAUGACUUUUGACUAAUCACUUAUGUUAUUUAAUCUCAGUUUCCUCCUUGGCGAAAUAAGGUUAGUACCUGCCUCACAAGGUUAUUGCAGAAUUAAACUAGAUGGUGCAAGUGAAAACACUUUGUAAAGUACAAAGUACUAUGCAAAUGUGAUGCAUGAGCACUUUAGAAUAUUAGUCGACCUUUCUCCCCAGCACACUUCUACUUCCUUGUAGACUUUGCCUCCUCUGCACCCAAUCAAUUAAAUUAACUGCCACAGGAAACAGAUGAUACAAAACCAAAUGAAACAAAAACCCAGAAAUCAAAGAGAUUUUUAAGUUUCAAAUCGGGAAGCAAAAAAGCUUAGAUAUUGAUGCAUCCCCCUCUCACACUCUGGGGUUGUACAUGGGCGUGGUGUGGGAGGAGUGGUGAUGAUGGACACUUAGAUGGUUUUGGAGACCUCAAAGUAGAGAGAAUGUGUUGUUGCUUCCUUGUGAAGCUGGGGAGGUAGCAAGCCUCACAGAGUUUCCCUCUGUGUCAAGCAUGAUGCAAGCAACGGUACCAUAGCCUCAUGAGUGUCUAGGCAGUAGGUUGCUACUCGGUGCAGGAAGCAGCCAAAUGUUUUACUGAUAUAUAGAAGUAAUUCAGAGAAAGCCAGACCUGAGCGGCCUUAAAGUCAGGACAGAGUGGAGGUAGCUGUGGCCUCGAUGGACCCCGCCACUCAAAACCACAAGACUAGAGAGGAAUAAAGAUGAGUUACUAGUAUGGAUUGAGCA
rnacentral:lncRNA from 1 species